UACACAUGUCCUUGAGUCCAUCAGCUGUAGGACGGGAUGCUCGGGUGGAAUACUGGCGGCAUAGAUUAUUGCGGAGCGUCCCAAGAGUCAGGAGACCAGCUGACACUAAUGCAUUAUCGUAAGAAGUGUCUGGAAAAAUAAUCGGCAAUGCACGCUUCUGGGUUUGUUCCAGGGAAGAUGAUAGGUACAUUGGCGAAUACGACGCAGCCGUAUUCGACUAUUGAUCUGAUUAACGAACAAUAGACGCCCACGAGAUCAUUAUGGGAGACGCCAGAUUUUUUCAGUUGCCUUAGGGAGCAAUGGGCCUCCCAUUUCAGGUUGUCUGUGAUGGUAUGUCCGAGCAGCUUAAAACUAUGUACGCGUUCUACGACCGUGUCCCGGAUGAAAAUGGGAGACCACUCGCAGCUGUUAUAAUAAAAAAAAAAGUCAACCGCCAUAGAUUUACAUUUUUUCGGAUUAAGCACCAUAUUAUUGUUGGAUGGGGAGUUCCUUGAGACGAUAUCAAGAAUGGUUAAGUCGUCGACAAAUUUCACACGCGGGAACCAUUUUCUCAUUAGGUCGUCUACCAUAACGGCGAAGAGAAUUGGGCCAAGUGUGGUCACCUGCGGAAUACCUCCAUUGAUGGCGUGAAGGCUUGAGGACACAUCCAAGAUCUUGACAAAUUGGGUGCGGACCUCGAGGAAUGCAGCGAUCCAGCGCACAAUACACAUUACCAAAAAUCAGGGACAUUUUGUUCAGGCGGUAUUUUUUGACAGCGGUCUCAUUUAGGCGUUACUGCGCAUGCGUCGGAAUAUCAGCUCACCCAAAACAAAAUGGCGGAGGGAAGACAGAGAUCAAGAAGAAUUGAUUAUAAAGCACUGAAUAAUGUUUCAUCUGCCGAUUUUAAUUUCGAUUUUCAAAGAAAACGAAAGUAUAAAAGUGGAUCAAAGGUAUAUGAUGUGGAAAGGAUAAUAAGUCAGCGAAUUACCUCCAGAAACGGGGAUAAAGAGUACCUAGUGAAGUGGAAAAA